rnacentral:tRNA from 1 species
GCCUAGCUAGUUUAGUUGGUUAGAGUGUGGUGCUGAUAACACCAAGGUUGCAGGUUCGAUCCCCAUAAGGGACA